rnacentral:rRNA from 1 species
UACGUAGGGUGCAAGCGUUAAUCGGAAUACUGGGCGUAAAGCGUGCGCAGGCGGUGAUGUAAGACAGGUGUGAAAUCCCCGGGCUUAACCUGGGAACUGCAUUUGUGACUGCAUCGCUGGAGUGCGGCAGAGGGGGAUGGAAUUCCGCGUGUAGCAGUGAAAUGCGUAGAUAUGCGGAGGAACACCGAUGGCGAAGGCAAUCCCCUGGGCCUGCACUGACGCUCAUGCACGAAAGCGUGGGGAGCAAACAGG